GACAGAGGAUGCAAGCGUUAUCCGGAAUGAUUGGGCGUAAAGCGUCUGUAGGUGGCUUUUUAAGUCUGCCGUCAAAUCCCAGGGCUUAACCCUGGACAGGCGGUGGAAACUACCAAGCUGGAGUACGGUAGGGGCAGGGGGAAUUUCCGGUGGAGCGGUGAAAUGAGUAGAGAUCGGAAAGAACACCAACGGCGAAAGCACUCUGCUGGGCCGACACUGACACUGAGAGACGAAAGCUAGGGGAGCGAAUGGG
rnacentral:rRNA from 1 species